AAUUCUAAUAUUAAUACUCUAAAUGGAUUGUAGAUUCUGAAGCAAUAGAUUAUAUAAUCAAUAAAUCCAAUUAUCUGUUACAUGAUAAUCUGAUAGGGAAUAUAGAAAAAGUGUAACUACCCAUGGGUUACUCCACCACAGUUUCUCAUGUUCGAAGUUUUCAGCUGGUUGAAGGUGAAGUGAUAGUGAUGUGUUGCGUGCACUAGUUUUUGAGUUUAAUAUUUUGC
rnacentral:lncRNA from 1 species